UUAAUGGCAGCAUUGAGCUCCUCGAUCUGAUCCCGUAGUUGCUGGGCCUCCUCCUGCAUGGCCGCCCGCUCCUGCUGCAGCAUGGCGAUGUACUCGGCCGUCUUCUGCAGUGUGGUUGCUUUGCUCACCUGCAGGCAUCCCCAGUGAGGCUCAGGUGCUGGAGGUGGCCCCACUCUGAGGCCCACUGAGGAGGAAACUGGGUGUCUGGGGGGCCCUGGGGCUUGGUCCUGGUCAGGGGGUCUACGAAGGAGCCCUGUGGUUCCGGGGGUGCCGGCCCAGGCUGGAGGCUCACCUUGAGGCUGGGCUGGGCGCUGAGUGUGCUCACCAGCCCGUGCAGGGUGUCAAACCCCAGCUUGAUAUUGAAGCGCCUCUUCUGCUCUGCAGAGAUGUGUGUGAUGCGCCGGUUCUCAGUCUUGGGGAGGCAGACAGGGGGGUGAGCCUAGGAAGGAGCAUGGAAGGGCCUGGGGGUAGCAAACAGAUCUUGGGGUGAGGGAAUGGUGCCACCUUGUUGUUGUCUGGACGACCCCGGCUUAGGAUGGGUUGAGGGGGAGAGACGCAGACACUCAGGGUCCCCGGGCCUGGAAUGGAGUUGAGUUCCCCAGACAGCCUCCGCUCACCACCUGUGGCGGGGAAAGACAGACCCCCAGACAGACCGACACGGGAGAGGGGUCCCAUUGCCCCUUCCCUCUCAUCCUGGCCUCAGAUGUGGGCGCUCCUUCUUCCUUUCCCUUUCUCCAUCCCCUAGGGACCCCCCUCCCGGAUCCCUGCAAGCCCUCUUUACCGCUGUGUGCUGGGGGCGAGAGCCGCUCCGCUUUGGGGACAAUCAGGGGCCUGGGAGGUGCCAGUGUGGUUGGGCCUGGAGGGGGCCGGGGUGGUGUGGGGGCCGGGGUCGGGGGUAGGAAGGUGCAGGGGAAUUCAGGGGCCGUCUCCUGCAGGGGUGGAGAAGGGCAGAGAGUUGGGGUGAAGCCCUGGGCUCACCCUCACCUCCCAGUGCCUGCCAUCUUACCGGGGACCCUGAGGGCCGGAGGAGGGUGCUGGAUACGAGUGGUGGUUCCAGGGCUUGCUCAGGCUUGGCUGUGCACAGGCAGAACUGUGAGGGACACUGGGGACAGCCCUAGCCCCGUCAUCUCCCAAGACCCCAUCCCUCCCCUCCAGAUAGCUCACUCCCCUUUCGGGUUUGGGGCCCAUGUCCCUAAUUCCUCGCCACCUCCCCCACAGCUGAGCCCACCCCUUACCACUUCACCCUCUGCUCCCACAGGCUUCCCACUUCCCCUCUGAGGACAGUGCUCUUCCCAUCUCACCUGCUGUGAGCAGCUGUGUGAGGCAGGGGUUGUUGCCCCCUGCUGGGGUAGUGGGGUUGGCGGUGGCAGGGGCCAAGGUUGGGGGGCUGGGCUUCUCCCCUCUAGGGGAUGGGGCGGGGGGCUUGCCUCUGGACCUCAUGCCUUGGGGCACUGUGAAGUGAGGCCCAAAUUGGGGCUCCAGAUACCCUGAGGGUAGAAGGUCUAUGGGGAAGGGAGCAGGGGCAGGGCCUGGACCAGGCUGGGGGGUAGGUGGGAAGGCAGUGGGAGCCGGCAGUGGGGACACUCCUGGGGCAGGAGGGACAGUAGAGAAGGGGAAUCUAGGAGAGAAGAGAGGCUCUUCCUGCAGCAAAGCAGGGGGAGGAGCCAUGGGAGGGAAGGCGGGUGGGGGACAGGGCUCUAGACCAGGCUCCUUGGGAAGGGCAGGGUAUUGGAAGAGGGGUGGGGGUGCUGGAGGGGGUGGGAGCUUGGGCUUGGGGUCUUCAGGAAGGAGGAAAUCAGAGUUCAGGAAGGCACUGGAGUCCAGGGUGCCAGGGCAGCUGCUCCGAGCCUGGUUGGGGGACAGAGAGAGAGCAGGGGAGAAAGCUGGCCUUUGCAGCCACCCAGGCAGGCUCUUGCCCUGGCUGAGGUCUGGACUGGGCACUGGGAGAGAGAGGAGAAAUGAUCGCUGUUGUCCCCCCACCUACACACACCAAAGGAAAUUGUAACCUAAUGAGGGGAGGGAGUGGAACACAAUUAGGCACACAUUAGGUGUAAGAAAGAGCAUCAAUCUUCCUGCCCAUCUUUUCAUUCACCAAAUAAUGAUUCCAUCCUACCACCAAUCCAUUCGUUCUCCAUUCCCCUAUUUGGCCUCUCACCUGUGAGCUAACUCAUCUAUCUCUCCACCAACCUGUGAGGUAUAAACCCAUUCACCAAUCCAUCCAACCCAUUCAUCCACCAACCCAUCCAGACAUAAUCCGUCCACCUAUCCACCAUGUGUUCAUUGACCAGCCACUUAUCCAGCCACCACCCUAUUCAUCUACAAGUCCAUCCACCAGCACAUGCAUCCAACCAACCACUCGCUUACCCAUGUAAGCAUCCACCCCCAUCUACAACCCGUGUAUCCAUUCACCAACACACCCAUCCAUUCACACAUUCACUCAUUCACUUAGUGGCUCAACCAUUGGGCAACCAUUGACCCUAUGCUUCUUGAACUGUGGUAGGUAUGGAAGAUGCAGCGGUGAGCAAGGCCUAGCUCUUCCAGUAAGGAGCUCACGGUCUGGUUGAGGAGAGAGACCUCUCAGCAAUGAACUACACUAGUGCCGGAACAGUCUGAUGACAGAGGGACCUGGCAGCAGAGCGGCAACCACCGAAUUGAGCCUGUGCAGGCCCUUACCAUCCUCGGGGCGCAGCUGCAGGGGCGUGGAGCUGGGCUGAGUCAUGGUGAAGAGCGUGUCGGAGAUGUCGGACAAAAAGCAGUCCAGGUCCAGAAGCUGCCGCCCGCCAGGCUCCUCCUCUGGGCCCCCGAGCAGCACGGGCACCACGCUGGAGAAGAGGUGCUCGCACCAUCGCUCCGGUGGUUGCCAACCCCCUUCCGCCUAGGGAGACAGAACCUUCAGCAGCCACGAGAGAGGGACCCCGGGGUCUCCCGCUGCCCUUGGCCCUUUCAUAUGGCCCCCACCUGGGGGAUGAAGUGGUCAGUACAUGGCCCUCCUCACCUCUCUCUCUGGAGGAUCCAGUUUGCCUACUGGAAGGCUUAUGGUCACCCCAUUGGCCUUUAACAACUGUCUCCACGAGCUAGACCUGGAUGGCCUGCUGAACAGAUAAGGGGCCUCUUCCUGUCCCCUAUACUUUUUCUGCCUGGAACCUCAGUUCUUAGGGACUUCGUUCCCCGAUGCCUCCCACCACCUCGCUCAAGGACUUCCCACCCCUCAGGAGGAGAAGGGCUCAAUCAACCAGAGGACGGCGGCCACGCCCACUGCUCCCAUCGGGUCCCGCCCUCAUCUCCUAGAAGCUGUCAAUUCUCUGGGUCCAGGGAGCACCCACCUGCUUUGGGGUCAGGAGAUCCCCUUCCCUGCUGCACUUACGGAGCUGCAGGAACACACGGAGGUGGACAAUGGAUCCCUUGUCCCUCUUCCAUCACUUCCCGCCAAGGCCUCCCCUACUCACAAGCUCCCCCAGAUGAGAGGGAUGCCGAUUUCCCCUCUGGAGCUCCUCCGCGCUGGGAGAUGAGUGAGCUCCAGCUAAGGAGGCUACGGACUCUCCCAAGGUCACACAGCUGGGGCAUCCUAGAACUUGACUCAACCCGCCUCUGUCUGACACAGAACGUGGGGUGCUUCCAGCAACUCGUGCAAUAGCUGGAGACCAGGGUCUGCCUGUCUGGGUGAGGGCCCUGGGUGGCACCAGAAAUGUCUUCUGCAGAGAGAAGGAUCUGCAUCCCAUCCAGCUUUGUGGGGAAGAGUGGAGAGCGCAGAGGUGUGUGGAGGGGUGGGCAGUGACUCCCUCUGGCCUAUCAGCUUCCUGGUCUGAGUAGGGCCCAUCCUAUGUGU